CCUACGGGAGGCAGCAGUGAGGAAUAUUGGUCAAUGGACGGAAGUCUGAACCAGCCAUGCCGCGUGAAGGAAGACGGCCCUAUGAGUUGUAAACUGCUUUUGUAAAAGGGUAAACCUGAAUACGUGUAUUUAUCUGUAAGUACUGUAUGAAUAAGGAUCGGCUAACUCCGUGCCAGCAGCCGCGGUAAUACGGAGGAUCCAAGCGUUAUCCGGAUUUAUUGGGUUUAAAGGGUGCGUAGGCGGAUUGAUAAGUUAGAGGUGAAAUGUCCGGGCUUAACUCGGGAACUGCAUCUGAUACUGGUGAUCUAGAGAAUAGAUGCGGUAGGCGGAAUGUAAGGUGUAGCGGUGAAAUGCUUAGAUAUCAUACAGAACACCGAUUGCGAAGGCAGCUUACCAAUCUAUAUCUGACGUUGAGGCACGAAAGCGUGGGGAGCAAACAGGAUUAGAUACCCUUGUAGUC
rnacentral:rRNA from 1 species